CUGACCGUAAACGAUGCCAACUAGCGAUCCGUCGGUGGCUCCAAGGCCCUGAUGGGGAGCUUCCCGGAAACGAAAGUCUUCCGGUUCCGGGGGAAGUAUGGUUGCAAAGCUGAAACUUAAAGGAAUUGACGGAAGGGCACCACCAGGAGUGGAGCCUGCGGCUUAAUUUGACUCAACACGGGAAAACUCACCCGGCCCGGACACCGUGAGGAUUGACAGAUUGAUAGCUUUUUCAUGAUUCGGUGGUUGGUGGUGCAUGGCCGUUCUUAGUUCGUGGAUCGAUUUGUCUGGUUUAUUCCGAUAACGAGCGAGACUCCAGCCUACUAAAUAGUGCGGGAAUUGCCACUGUUCCCUUGCACUUCUUAGAGGGAUUGGCUGCGUCUAGCGGCACGAAACGGAGCAAUAACAGGUCUGUGAUGCCCUUAGAUGUCCGGGGCUGCACGCGCGCUACACUGGCAAAGGCAGCGUGCUUGUCCGUCUCCGAAAGGAGUCGGUAAACCCUUGAAAAUUUGCCGUGAUUGGGAUCGGAAAUUGCAAUUAUUUUCCGUGAACGAGGAAUUCCUAGUAAGUGCGAGUCAUCAGCUCGCGUUG
rnacentral:rRNA from 1 species